GAUCAUGGCUCAGGAUGAACGCUGGCGGUGUGCCUAACACAUGCAAGUCGAACGAGGCGUUUUAAAUGAAGUUUUCGGAUGGAUUUUAAAACGCCGAGUGGCGGACGGGUGAGUAACGCGUGGGUAACCUGCCUCAUACAGGGGGAUAACGAUUGGAAACGAUUGCUAAUACCGCAUAAGCGCACAGUACCACAUGGUACAGUGUGAAAAACUCCGGUGGUAUGAGAUGGACCCGCGUCUGAUUAG
rnacentral:rRNA from 1 species